rnacentral:rRNA from 1 species
CGGGGUGCACCAGGCGCGAAAACUCUACAAUGCAGGCAACUGCGAUAGGGGAACAUCGAGUGAUCCUCAUAUUGGGGGCCUGUCCACCCGCCUAAAAAGCGGGUGUUAGCAAGGGCCGGGCAAGACCGGUGCCAGCCGCCGCGGUAAUACCGGCGGCUCGAGUGGUGGCCGAUAUUAUUGAGUCUAAAGGGUCCGUAGCCGGCUUUGCAAGUCUCUCGGGAAAUCCAGCGGCUUAACCGUUGGUCGUCCGGGGGGUAUUACAUUGCUUGGGACUGGGAGAGGCGAGAGGUACUCAGGGGGUAGGAGUGAAAUCCUGUAAUCCUCUGGGGACCACCGGUGGCGAAGGCGUCUCGCCAGAACAGGUCCGACGGUGAGGGACGAAAGCUAGGGGCACGAACCGGAUUAGAUACCCGGGUAGUCCUAGCCGUAAACGAUGCUCGCUAGGUGUCACAACAGUCGUGAACUGUUGUGGUGCCGUAGGGAAGCCGUGAAGCGAGCCACUUGGGAAGUACGACCGCAAGGUUGAAACUUAAAGGAAU